GGCGCGGGCCACGGGCCCGCUUCCAAGUGCGUCUGCGCGCCGGCCACCCACGUCGGGUCCUUCAAGUGAAGCUUCCACCGCACCAACUCCCAGGGCCACGGCCACGGCCAGGGCCAGGGAAGCCGCCCUUAUUCGCCCCCUUCACCGGUCGCGCCCAACACGGUGCCGCGGCACCCGGCCUCGCCGUCCUUGUCCUCCGGCACCGUCGCGACCCAGUGA
rnacentral:rRNA from 1 species